CCUGGAGCUUCUAAUAUUUUGUGGAUUUUCGUCUUGCUUGCCUCUGGUGUGGAAAGGGACUAGUGAUGUCCUCACACCGUUGCUCUGUUACCAACUGUUCACUUAGUUGCCUCUUGUGCUUACCCAAGCCAGUACUCAAGCAGCCCAACCUCUGCUGCUGCUUGGCCAUGUCAUCUGCCCUGGGGCAAAAGCAAGCUGUGGUCUAAACUACAAACCAAGGUGCCCCAUGGACCAUGGAGGAUACUCACCCUGUGCUCUGGUUCCCUGGGGUCCCAUGGGGACUGCCACAGGCUCUAUGGGCUCAUGAGCAAUUUACCCUCACAUUCAGGGAAUGUAGGUAGCUUCCAUAGGGUGAUGGUAGAGAAGAGUUUGAACUAAGACUCUUGGAGAUGCAGCCUGACUACCAAAAGUGAUAUCCAAUUAUGCUAAGGCCUGCUAGUUUCUCUGUGCAUACUGGACAUGGAAGGUCAGGGGCCCCUUCUCUGGCCCUGAGGAUGAGUGGGGCUGCUAGGGAGAUGCCUUUGAAACAGAGCUCCUGAGUGCUUCACUGUACCACUUCAUGUUAAUCAUUACAGACCGAGCUGACUGCAGGUGCUUUCAGCUACUCCGAAAUCACCUGGAGACCACAAAGGUAAGAAGCAUGUUGAACCCCGGGGACUGCCGCUAUUAGCAGAGAUAGUCCAGAUUGAGAACCUUUUUUGCCCACUGCAGCCUGGAAGACUGGUCAGCAUGGAGUCAGCCUGGCUGGUAAUGGAGAGGGUAUGUGGACAGCAUGAAGGAGCUUGUCUGGUAGCAUGAGGUGGUCUUGCUCUGGAGCUGUGUGGAAUAUGGGAAUGGUUACAUAACUCCUACUUCUGUUCCCCAAGAUGAGGGUCAUGGGCUGGUAAGCUAUCACACCCCCAGGGAUGAGUCACCAGACCUGGAGAGUCAGAUUGCCAGUAGGAUCUCCUGGUGCAUGGCCCUAGGGGUAGACACAGGUGCUUGUUUCCACUUGAUUGGGAGACAGGGUGUGGCCAGGACACACCAUUCUCAGAACCAAACCUGCUUCCUCUUAACCUCCGGAGUGUACUCAGGGCUGCACCAGAGAACAAUGGCUAGAAGAACUCUGAAGGACUCUGGAGUGUGUGGCUUCCUCCAGUCUGUCAGUUUCCUAGUAGGGCAGGGGAGUCUUACAGCAACAAGCUAGCCAUUGUG
rnacentral:lncRNA from 1 species